CGGACCGGCGGACGGGUGCGUAACGCGUAUGCAACCUGCCUGGACACAGGGGGAUAAUCCGAAGAAAUUUGGUCUAAUACCCCAUAUACCGAUAUAGGCAUCUAUGUUGGUUGAAAGCUUUGGUGGUGUCAGAUGGGCAUGCGUUGUAUUAGCUAGUUGGUGAGGUAACGGCUCACCAAGGCGACGAUACAUAGGGGGACUGAGAGGUUAACCCCCCACACUGGUACUGAGACACGGACCAGACUCCUACGGGAGGCAGCAUG
rnacentral:rRNA from 1 species